rnacentral:rRNA from 1 species
GACGAACGCUGGCGGCGUGCUUAACGCAUGCAAGUCGAACGGAAAGGCCCUGCUUUUGUGGGGUGCUCGAGUGGCGAACGGGUGAGUAACACGUGAGUAACCUGCCCUUGACUUUGGGAUAACUUCAGGAAACUGGGGCUAAUACCGGAUAGGAGCUCCUGCUGCAUGGUGGGGGUUGGAAAGUUUCGGCGGUUGGGGAUGGACCCGCGGCUUAUCAGCUUGUUGGUGGGGUAGUGGCUUACCAAGGCUUUGACGGGUAGCCGGCCUGAGAGGGUGACCGGCCACAUUGGGACUGAGAUACGGCCCAGACUCCUACGGGAGGCAGCAGUGGGGAAUAUUGCACAAUGGGCGGAAGCCUGAUGCAGCAACGCCGCGUGCGGGAUGACGGCCUUCGGGUUGUAAACCGCUUUCGCCUGUGACGAAGCGUGAGUGACGGUAAUGGGUAAAGAAGCACCGGCUAACUACGUG